UGCUCACUGUGAGUUUAUAGGCAGUUGGAGGCACUUGUGCUCUGGAUCUGGCUCACAGCGACGGAACUAUCCCACUCUGCCCAGUACCCCAGUGCAUAAAGAGAAGGUGCUCACACAGUGACAGGUCACAGCCCACAGGAACACUCGCUGGCUAGCCCAUCCACCACCAUCUCAGCGCUGCCCCUGGGCUAGGAGACGUCACCCCAAGCAUCAGCACCAUGUAAGAGGACCUGGGGACCCUGCUGGCCUUGGAAAGAGCCGAUAUCAUAGCCAUCAGGGAGAAGGAGCUGCCUGGCCUCAGCCCCCAUGAAGCCAAGAAACAUUGCCAGGAGACCAGGCGUGCCAACAAGUUGCUCAGGAAAUGGGGCCACUAUCAUC